GUUUCAGAACUUAAUAACAUUGUUCAAGUGAACAGGGAUACAAACUGCAAGAUUAAAGAGAGUCAAAUGCACAUAACAGCUCACUUCAACUUCGCAAUCAGACAGGUGUUGAGAUGUACACUCUAUCCCUCAAGACCAAUGUGAUCAUUCUCUGGACAGCCAAAAGCAUAUUGGUUAGUACUCCAUCUAAUGGCAGCAUCAGAGUAAACAACACAGAAACUACUAAACCAACCUGUUAUUCAUGAUUAUACAUGGCAAGGAAAUAACUACACAUGAACUCCGUGAAAAGCUCUGGGCUUUUCUUCAUGUAAUGAGCGUUUCCUGGAUUCUUGAAUUAUAGCACUGCACACUGAGCAUUUCCACAGAUCUCCACUGUGUAAAAUGGGAGUUCUGUGCUUCUGUCAUGUAUCUGAAAGGACGGCUUCUGUGGUUUUCCUGUGAAAUUGUAAAACCACACUUAAGAUGUCUCUGUGAGUAUAUAAAAAAAUUAAUCUUGGAAAUCAUUAUGUAUUAUUUGUCUUGUCAAUUAUG